UACGUAGGGUGCAAGCGUUGUCCGGAAUCAUUGGGCGUAAAGCGCGUGUAGGCGGUUCUGUAAGUCGGCUGUGAAAGUCCAGGGCUCAACCCUGGGAUGCCGGUCGAUACUGCCGGACUAGAGUUCGGAAGAGGCGAGUGGAAUUCCCGGUGUAGCGGUGAAAUGCGCAGAUAUCGGGAGGAACACCAAUUGCGAAGGCAGCUCGCUGGGACGUUACUGACGCUGAGACGCGAAAGCGUGGGGAGCAAACAGG
rnacentral:rRNA from 1 species